rnacentral:rRNA from 1 species
UGGGGAAUAUUGCACAAUGGGCGCAAGCCUGAUGCAGCGACGCCGCGUGAGCGAAGAAGUAUUUCGGUAUGUAAAGCUCUAUCAGCAGGGAAGAAAAUGACGGUACCUGACUAAGAAGCUCCGGCUAAAUACGUGCC